rnacentral:rRNA from 1 species
UCCAGACUCCUACGGGAGGCAGCAGUGAGGAAUAUUGGUCAAUGGCCGGAAGGCUGAACCAGCCAAGUCGCGUGAGGGACGACUGCCCUAUGGGUUGUAAACCUCUUUUAUAAGGGAAGAAUAAAUGCUACGUGUAGCAUGAUGCCUGUACCUUAUGAAUAAGCACCGGCUAACUCCGUGCCAGCAGCCGCGGUAAUACGGGGGGUGCAAGCGUUGUCCGGAAUCAUUGGGCGUAAAGCGUUCGUAGGCGGUAAAGUAAGUCAGAUGUUAAAGCCCGGGGCUCAACUCCGGUUCGGCAUUUGAUACUACUUGACUAGAAUGCGGUAGAGGUAAAGGGAAUUCCUGGUGUAGCGGUGAAAUGCGUAGAUAUCAGGAGGAACAUCGGUGGCGAAAGCGCUUUACUGGGCCGUUAUUGACGCUGAGGAACGAAAGCCAGGGUAGCAAACGGGAUUAGAUACCCGAGUA